UUUGGUUGAUCCUGCCAGUAGUCAUAUGCUUGUCUCAAAGAUUAAGCCAUGCAUGUGUAUUAUGAACUAAUUCAGACUGUGAAACUGCAAAAGUCUCAUUAAAUCAGUUGUAGUUUGUUUGAUGGUAUUUGCUACUCUGAUAACCGUAGUAAUUCUAGAGCUAAUACAUGCAACAAACCUCAACUUCUGGAAGGGAUGGUUUAUUAGAUAAAAGGUCGACGCAGGCUCUGCCCAUUGCUCUGAUGAUUCAUGAUAACUUGACGGAUCACACGACCAUCGUGCCGGCGACGCAUCAUUCAAACUUCUACCCUAUCAACUUUCGAUGGUAGGAUAGUGGCCUACUAUGGUGGUGACGGCUGACGGAGAAUUAGGGUACGAUUCCGGAGAGGGAGCUUGAGAAACAGCUACCACAUCCAAGGAAGGCAACAUGCACGUAAAUUACCUAAUCCUGACACGGGGAGGUAGUGACAAUAAAUAACAAUACCAGGCUCUUCGAGUUUGGUAAUUGGAAUGAGUACAAUCUAAAUCCCUUAACGAGGAUCAAUUAGAGGGCAAGUCUUGUGUCAGCAGCCGCGGUCAUUCCAGCUCCAAUAGCGUAUAUUUAAGUUGUUGCAGUUAAAAAGCUCAUAGUUGGACCUUGGGUUGGGUGAAUCGGUCUGCCUAUGGUGUGAGCACCGUUUGGUUCUUCCCUUCUGUCUGUGAUGCACUCCUGGCCUUAAUUGGUUGGGUCGUUCCUCUGGCGCUGUUACUUUGAAGAAAUUAGAGUGCUCAAAGCAAGCCUAAGCUCUGUAUACAUUAGCAUGGUAUAACAUCAUAUGAUUUCGAUCCUAUUCUGUUGACCUUCAGGAUCAGAUUAAUGAUUAACAGGGACAGUCAGGAGUAUUCGUAUUUCAUAGUCAGAGGUGAAAUUCUUGGAUUUAUGAAAGAUGAACAACUGCAAAAACAUUUGCCAAGGAUGUUUUCAUUAACCAAGAACGAAAGUUGGGGGCUCGAAGACGAUCAGAUACUGUCCUAGUCUCAACCAUAAACGAUGCCGACCAGGGAUUGACGGAUGUUGCUUUAAGGACUCCACCAGCAGCUUAUGAGAUAUCAAAGUCUUCGGGUUCCAGGGGGAGUAUGGUUGAAAGGCUGAAACUUAAAGAAAUUGACGGAAGGUCACCACCAGGAAGGGAGCCUACGGCUUAAUUUUACUCAACACGGAGAAACUUACCAGGUCCAGACAUAGUAAGGAUUGACAAACUAAGAGCUCUUUCUUGAUUUUAUGGGUGGUGGUGCGUGGUCGUUCUUAGUUGGUGGUGCAAUUUGUCUGGUUAAUUUCGUUAACGACCGAGACCUCAACCUACUAACUAGCUAUGUGGAGGAAUCCCUCUGUGACUAGCUUCUUAGAAGGACUAUGGCCGCUUAGGCCAAGGAAGUUUGAGGCAAUAAUAGGUCUGUGAUGGUCCUAGAUGUUCUGGGCCGCACGCGCGCUACACUGAUGUAUUUAACGAGUCUAUAGCCUUGGCCGAUAGGCCCGAGUAAUCUUUGAAAUUUCAUUGUGAUCGGGAUAGAUCAUUGCAAUUGUUGGUCCUUAAUGCAUAAUUCUUAGUAAGCGCAAGUCAUUAGCUCACAUUGACUAUGUCCCAGCCCUUUGUACACAUGGAUCGUCGCUCCUACUGAUUGAAUGGUCCGAUGAAGUGUACGGAUCGUGGAGACGUGAGCGGUUUGCUGCCUGCGACAUCGCGAGAAGUCCAUUGAACCUUAUCAUUGAGAGGAAGGAGAAGUCAUAACAAGGUUUCCAUACGUGAACCUGCUGAAG
rnacentral:rRNA from 1 species